rnacentral:rRNA from 1 species
AGGGGAAUCUUGCACAAUGGGGGCAACCCUGAUGCAGCGACGCCGCGUGAGCGAUGAAGCCCUUCGGGGCGUAAAGCUCUUUCGACCGGAACGAUAAUGACGGUACCGGGAGAAGAAGCUGCGGCUAACUACGUGCCAGCAGCCGCGGUAAUACGUAGGGAGCAAGCGUUGUUCGGAUUUACUGGGCGUAAAGGGCACGUAGGCGGCGCGGUAAGUCACUUGUGAAAUCUCUGAGCUUAACUCAGAACGGCCAAGUGAUACUGCUGUGCUAGAGUGCGGAAGAGGCAACCGGAAUUCUUGGUGUAGCGGUGAAAUGCGUAGAUAUCAAGAGGAACACCUGAGGCGAAGGCGGGUUGCUGGGCCGACACUGACGCUGAUGCGCGAAAGCCAGGGGAGCAAACG